GACGAACGCUGGCGGCGUGCUUAACACAUGCAAGUCGAACGGAAAGGCCCUGCUUUUUGGGGCUGCUCGGGCGGGGAACGGGUGGGUAACACAUGUUUAACCUGCCCUCGACUUUGGGGUAAUUACAGCAAACUGGGGUAACUACCGCCUCGGAACUCCGCAUGCACGGUGGGGGUGGGAAAGUUUCGGCGGUUGGGGAGGGACGCGCGGCUUAUCAGCUCGUUGGGGGGGUGUUGGCUUACAAAGGCUUUGCCGGGUAGCCGGCAUGAGAGGGGAAACGGCCACAAUGGGACUGAGAGACGGCCCAGACGCCUACGGUAGGCAGCAGUGGGGAGUAUUGCGCAAUGGGCGGAAGCCUGAUGCAGCAACGCCGCGUGCGGGAUGACGGCCUUCGGGUUGUAAACCGCUUUCGCCUGUGACGAAGCGUGAGUGACGGUAAUGGGUAAAGAAGCACCGGCUAACUACGUG
rnacentral:rRNA from 1 species